rnacentral:rRNA from 1 species
UACGGGGGGGGCAAGCGUUGUUCGGAAUUACUGGGCGUAAGGGGCGCGUAGGCGGCCUUCUAAGUCGAACGUGAAAUCCCCGGGCUCAACCCGGGAACUGCGUCCGAUACUGGAAGGCUUGAAUCCGGGAGAGGGAUGUGGAAUUCCAGGUGUAGCGGUGAAAUGCGUAGAUAUCUGGAGGAACACCGGUGGCGAAGGCGACAUCCUGGACCGGUAUUGACGCUGAGGCGCGAAAGCCAGGGGAGCAAACGGG